rnacentral:RNase_P_RNA from 1 species
GGAGUUGGCCAGACAAUCGCUGCCUUAUACUUGUUAUAAGGGGGAGGAAAGUCCGGGCUCCAUAGGGUAGGGUGCCAGGUAACGCCUGGGCGGGUUAAACCGACGACAAGUGCAGCAGAGAGAAGACCGCCAACCGUUGUUUCGACAGCAGUUGGUAAGGGUGAAAGGGUGCGGUAAGAGCGCACCGGACCCCUGGUAACAGUGGGUUGCAAGGUAAACUCCACCCGGAGCAAGACCAAAUAGGGUUUC